rnacentral:rRNA from 1 species
UACGGGGGGAGCAAGCGUUGUUCGGAUUUACUGGGCGUAAAGGGCGCGUAGGCGGUCGUGACAAGUCACUUGUGAAAUCUCCGGGCUUAACUCGGAACGGUCAAGUGAUACUGUCGGACUAGAGUACAGAAGGGGCAACUGGAAUUCUCGGUGUAGCGGUGAAAUGCGCAGAUAUCAGGAGGAACACCGGUGGCGAAGGCGGGUCUCUGGGCCGAUACUGACGCUGAGGAGCGAAAGCAUGGGUAGCGAACAGG